AUACGUAGGAGGCAAGCGUUAUCCGGAAUUAUUGGGCGUAAAGAGGGAGCAGGCGGCAGCAAGGGUCUGUGGUGAAAGCCUGAAGCUUAACUUCAGUAAGCCAUAGAAACCAGGCAGCUAGAGUGCAGGAGAGGAUCGUGGAAUUCCAUGUGUAGCGGGGAAAUGCGUAGAUAUAUGGAGGAACACCAGUGGCGAAGGCGACGAUCUGGCCUGCAACUGACGCUCAGUCCCGAAAGCGUGGGGAGCAAAUAGGAUUAGAUACCCUAGUAGUCCACGCCGUAAACGAUGAGUACUAAGUGUUGGAUGUCAAAGUUCAGUGCUGCAGUUAACGCAAUAAGUACUCCGCCUGAGUAGUACGUUCGCAAGAAUGAAACUCAAAUGAAUUGGCGGGG
rnacentral:rRNA from 1 species